rnacentral:rRNA from 1 species
GACGAACGCUGGCGGCGUGCUUAACACAUGCAAGUCGAACGGAAAGGCCCUGCUUUUGUGGGGUGCUCGAGUGGCGAACGGGUGAGUAACACGUGAGUAACCUGCCCUUGACUUUGGGAUAACUUCAGGAAACUGGGGCUAAUACCGGAUAGGAGCUCCUGCUGCAUGGUGGGGGUUGGAACGUUUCGGCGGUUGGGGAUGGACUCGCGGCUUAUCAGCUUGUUGGUGGGGUAGUGGCUUACCAAGGCCUUGAAGGGUAGCCGGCCUGAGAGGGUGACCGGCCACAUUGGGACUGAGAUACGGCCCAGACUCCUACGGGAGGCAGCAGUGGGGAAUAUUGCACAAUGGGCGGAAGCCGGAGGCAGCAACGCCGCGUGCGGGAUGACGGCCUUCGGGUUGUAAACCGCUUUCGCCUGUGACGAAGCGUGAGUGACGGGAAUGGGUAAAGAAGCACCGGCUAACUACGU